UCCCUAAGCUUUAAGUCAAGCUAAAAUUAACUAAAUAUGAGUACAACAGCUACUUACUUUGGGCAUUUUAGUUCUCUAUAUCUCAGCAAGGUGUUGUCCACCAAAAUUGCAAUUAAGGCCACUAGGUUAGAGCAAUACUAAUCCAGGAAGAAUAUAAAAGCACAGAUAAACAGCUAUAAUCCACAGAUCAGGCUACUCUUUCGUAUUAAGUGAAAAGCAGAUCAUAUUGGUACAAAAACAUACACAUGUCCCAUAUGGACAAGCACAUGAUACCUAAUUCUGCAUCAAACACCUGCUCGAACUUUCUCAUUGAUGUGUACAAUAAAAACAAGAUUCUGGCCAUAAAAUAAACAAUCUGGGUAAACUUGUGGCAAUGCAUCAUAUAUACUUAAAAAAAAAUAAGGAAACAUGCAACAUUGUAAUCAAUUUGAUCCAAUAUUAACAAUCCACCCACCAAGGAAUCCAGACAUGAAACUUAGACUAUUUAAUGACUAAAAACUAUGCAAUAUUUUUGUUGGAUAACCAAUUUUCCUAAAAGCUCUUAUGCUUGAAUAUGGGCUUAAUAAAUACAUGGUUGGGCUUGAACGUGGACUCAAUAAAUUGAAGAAAUAAAUAUGGCCUCCUACUAAAGAUGCUUAGAUUCCAUUUUGAACAACCAAGUUUUCUAGAAGUGCAAGUUGUUAAGAUUUGGAUUCAUAAUGUAUAUCAUGGUCUCCAACAAAUUUAACUAAAAAUGCAUCAUACACUUUUCCUUGGCAACAAGAAAGAAGCAUCUACAAAUGCCCCACAAGUGUUGGACCAGCUAGUCAUGUCAAGUGUAGACACAAUAACAAGCAUGGGGUAUAAAAAUGAUAUGCAUCAUAAUCAAAUUUUCUCUUUUGAACAUCCGAAAUGAGGCAUCAUGAAGAGCACGAGCAGCUGCACUGCCUGCCAUACCGGCACCUUUGACGAUAACAGAUGGUGAGGUUGCUUGCUGCCUUUCAAUAUUUGCAUAACAAAGAGCUACAAGACAGGAGAUUGAAUUCAGAUUCUGGAAAUCAGGCCAUAGAGAUGAACUACAAGUCUUCAACACUUUGAUAAAAGAAUCUUUAAAUGCACAUCCUAAUCACAAAAUAAUUUACAUCUUAGAAUAACAUUGGAAUGUACUGAAGUCACUAUCAUAUGCCUUCCAAGAAUACAUUUAUCAAAAUAAAUCAACAAAACAAUGAAGUAAAGCCCCCAAUAAAGACAAUUACAUUUACUAUAAGCGUGUAAAAGCACCUUUUAUCAACUCAUUUUUUAUACAAGAGGGAAGAAAAAUGGAAGGUACCUAGAGGAGACCCACAAAAAACAGUGAAAGAUCCUAGCCAUUGAUAUCCUUAUGUAAGGAGAUGAUGAAUGAUAGCAACAGAUGCAACUUAAAUCACAUCCUCAUCCACUAGUUUAGAGCUAGAAAGUUGCGGGAGCUGUUAUUCCCAAUACUCGAACUACAGUUGGCAUUCCCAGAUUUUUUGGAAGAGCUCCUCUUAGGCUAGAAGGUGAAGGGCAUAAAUAAAAGACAGAGGAAGGUAUUGAGCAUGGCUCCCUCUUGCUCGUUUUGGUGCAUGUGGCACCAGCAAAGUUGAAAGAUCUUCAAUGAGCAAGAUCUUCCCAACCAAAAGUAGAAGGAGAUCUCUAUUAAAUAAAUUUUGGAAUGAUCUAAAGUCCAGUUGGGAAAGGAGAAUUGUUCUUUAUAGAAUUAUAUUGAUAACAUAAAUUGUGGAUAGUCGUUCAUGUUUUUGUUGUUUUUGUCCGAGUGUUGCUAUUUUUUUCCCCUCUUAUAUCGGUGCUUCUUGGAUACCCAUACAUACAUACAAGAUUCAUGCACACAGAAGAUAGGUCCACUGCAAAAUAAAAUCUCAACAUGGUUCAAAUUCUUGUCUCAUUACACAAUGAAGCUCAAAUGCACUAUUAUUUAUAACUGUAUGGGGAAAAAGAUUCAUAAUAACUUUCUUUUGAUCCAAAAAGGUAAAGAUUUAUUUCACCUGCUUGUUUGCUAAUAUUAAAAGAGGAGCUCCUUGCAAAUCCUCAUGCCGGAGAAUUUUUUCUGAUAAUCAAAUUGAAGGUGUAAAUGCAUCAUUGUAAUUUCAAUUUGAAACUCCACACUAAUGGUAAAAUUGAUCAGUAAUUAAAAGAGCACUAUGUUCCACAAAAUCAAAAUAACCGCAAAUAACUCACCCAGUGCUGAUUUUGAAUCUUCAAAACAUGAUGGGCAAGAAGCGUCAAUUACAUAUACCACAGCAUGUGCCUCUUCAUAAUAUUUCUCCCAAAUUGAAUGAAGACCGGACUGACAAAAAAUAACUAAAUAAAUAAAUAAAAUAAAAAAUUCUUGCAUCAAUGAAAGAAAUUCAAAAGGAACCCUUCUUAUUUUAUUUCAUUUUAUUCAUUUUUUAGCUCAAUGUUUUGAAUCAUAGACAUUCAGACACCUAGAAUCUUAGCAGAUACAGGCUUGCUGAACCCUGGAAUUCUUAUUGCUCGCUACAUUUCAACAGUUUCUAGUAAAAAGAACUUAAGCUGAUCAAAAGAAAGAAAUUUCCUUUGUAGAGAAUGGAAGAAAGACAGCUGUACUACAUACAUUUUAUCAUGCAACUUUGAGACCAUUUAUAGAACAGCAUACAGUUAAACCCAAGUUUCAUCCCUUCUUUUCAUGUGAGCUCAUUUUCAGUUAUACAACAUAAGCAAUAAGUUUACCAUGAAUAAAAUAAUUGUUUCCUGUUUUACUUAUGGAAUUUCAGGUUUUUACAGUUCCCAAUAUCUGCUCUUAAGACAAAAAAUGAAAAAUAAAAAUAAAACACAAUAAAUAAAUCCUAAGAUAGUAACAAAGAAAGAAGGGGAUUCACUCAGUUGCCUCAAGAUUUUUGGGAAGUCUGCCUACCUGGUGGGUUCAAGCAGAUAAAGUCAUAAAAGACUUUAGUAUGAAGAGUUGAAAAUAUCACAGAUAUUCAUAAUCCCACUCCUAUUUGUUCUAGUGGCUAUUAACAGUAAAAUACCAAAGCACUAUUAUGUUGUACAAGAAUGCAGUGCUGGAAAAAUGGUAUUAUAUUCUAACCAUAGUUGUUAAUUCAUAAAAUGUAUCAUAUAUCAUUUUUCUGUAUCGUGUAUUGUAAGUUUUUUUAUAUAGUAAAAAUAAAAUAAAAUAAAAUACGUAUAUGUAUGUAUAUCUACUAAAAGUAUGAAGUAUAAAGUAACAUAUAACCAAUUUUAUGAAAGAUAGUAAGAUCUAAAGAGUUGUUAAAGUUUUGACAAGUUUAAAUUAACACAAUAUGACUUUAUAUAUAGAUUCAUCACAUUAUCCACAACAAUAAACUUCUUCGAUAAAAGAAAUAAAAAAAGCUAAUAUAUUAAGUAAAAUUUUUCAUUUACUAAUCACCAUCAUUUUCAUUAUCAAUAUUCAAACCAUUCAAAUGAAAAUUCUUCGAUAUUCAAUGUAAAAAUAAACUUAUUUGACUUCUAAUAUAACAUUUGACUACAAGAAUGUAGCUUUUCUUAUAAGAUUAUAUUGCCAAUUUCUCCUUUGUAUGACCCAUUUUUAAUUUUUUAGUAUAUUUUAAACAAUUAAUAUAAUAAAUUCUUUCAAUAAAACAAAAUUAAUUUGACUUUUAAAAAAAAUCAUAGAAAAUAAUUAAAGAUGUAUGUAUUGUUGUAUCGUAAUAUCACGUAUCAUAUCAUGUAUCGCAUGUGUAUCGUAGAUAUGCUUUAAAAUAAGAUACAAAUUGUAAUACAUAUUGAUUUCGAUAAAAAAUGUAUCAUAUCAUUGCAUUGUAUUGUGUAUUGUAAGUUUUUUAACAACUAUGAUUCUAACAAUAAAGAUUACAAAAGUGAAAAACCUAGUAAAUGAUAUAACUCAGAAACUGUUAUCAUUGUAGAUGAUUGCAUGAGACCCCGCUGUUAUAGUCUAAGAAAAUGGUGUUGGAACUUUUAUGGAGUAACUGAAGAAACUCUGAGAAUAUCCACUUGAUUGUCAGUUUUGGGAUGUCUUACAUACCUGACCUCCCAGGUCCCAGAACACAAGUUUUGUAUUUGACAAUUCAAAUCAUAUAUAUUAGUAAGUAUUAAUAAAGUUUCCAGAGACAAGUGCAAUGGUUUAAGGAACAUGAACAAAUAAAAGUAUUAAUAAUAUUAAAGCUGAAUCAGAAAUAGACAGGUAAAAGAAGGUUUUUUUGGAACUUAUAUGCUUCAAACUGGAAUAAUGUUCUUUUAAACUACAAACAGUAAAGAAUACAUACUGUUCCUUUCUUAUCAAACCUAGAGGGCUUAUACUACACAUAAAAUUUAAAAUAUUACAACAACAAAAUAAUGAAAAACUUAAAACCCAAAGCCACUAGCGAUUGAUCAAGGGCCAAAACAGCACUUACAAAGUAGAAAACUUGAUUCUUACCAGGAGAGCAUAAAUUGAAAAUCACCAAUUAUCCCAACAUCCAACUCAAUAAAUUGAAACACUUCAAAAUCAAAAUGUCAAAAAUAUAUCAAAUUUCUUCUAUAGAAACAUAAAACGAACUGAAUGCUUGAAGCAACAUCAACCAUCCAUUAAUUUGAUUUUUAGUCAAUCACCCAUUUCUUUCUUUUUGAAAAAUGAGGCCACACAUUUAGGUAGAAUCGCUCUCUGCUACAGCGCAGGCAAUGCGUACAUACAUAAGAACUAAAUCCUACCCACAAAAUGUCUCCUCAAAAAACUAUAAUUAAAAAAAAAAUUAAAUAAACAAGGGAGACACCGGUUCAGAAAACUAUAGUUUCAAAGCAAUAUAUAUACAAGAAAUCAAAGAACAAAAGGCUCACGAACCUGAAAGCUACCUCUGAAAUUCUUGAAAAAAGUAACAGAUUACAUACUACACCAAGACAUUGAUUAAUCUAAUGAAAAGAGUGGAACUCCACGAAACGAUAUUUACACAAAUGAGGUUAGGGUUCCAAAAAUUUAGGGUUCCGGGAGGGACAAAAGCAAAUGGAGUUUUGGGUUUCCGUUGAGAGAGUUGGUGUCGGGGUGAAAAACGUGAGACCUUUUUAUAUUUUUAUUUUUUGGGCUUUUAAGGUUUUUUGGGUAUUCAGAUGUGGAGGCUGAGUUGGACGAAUGGCGAGGGCAUUUUGGGAAUGAAAGCACACCUCUGUGCGGAGUGCAUGGAAUUGCUAAUAUUUUCGGCAUCAGCACAGAUUUCUUGAUUUUCCCAAAGUGGGGAUUGAAAAUCCUAAUAUUUUGGGAUUAACAGCCCAUAACCAAGUUUUCCCUUAUAGUAACUAAUGCUAUCAUGACUGGCUAGGGAGUUUCUGGUGGAAUAUGAUGAGAGCCAACUGAAAGGAGUGUAUGUCGCGCAACAUUACUUCACAUUUUGUUAAUCAAAUUACGCGCAUCCACGAAUUAUAAAUAAAGAAAAAAUAAAAUUUUUAACAUGAUUUAAUGAUAAUCAAUGUGAUAUUUACAUUCACAGAAUACACUAUCAUUCAAUAAUUUAUUAAUCAAAGUUAAAAAAACAAUAUAUUGAUGAAAUUCUAAAAAAACUCUCAAUUGCAUCACAAUUUCUAAAAAAUUCCCUUUAAAAUAUAAAAUGGUUAAAUAUAUAAAGGAGACAAAUUUGUGAUUCAUUGUAUAAAAAAACCAAUAGAAAGUUCAACCUCCAACAUCUCAAAUGAAGUGGAAUUUUAUAGUAUUGGGUUUAAAAUGUGGGUCUUUUUUUUUAAAAAAAAAACUCAACCGUGAUGAUAAACCACAUUAGAUGGUGAAAUGGGCACUUGGGAGUUAAAAGGAGUCUGAGUGGAGCACUGCAUGGUUCAUAAUUAAAGGAUAUCUAUGACAAGAAAAAUAAUUAAAUGCAUGAUUUGUUAUAGAUUGCUGUGAUGUGGCACAAAGAGCCUAGCAUGUAAGCCAACUCAUGUCAUCAACUAAGAGCUUCCUCCAUGUUAGAGUUAGUAACAUUUGCAAAUGGAAUUGAAAAGGUGAAUCUCAAUAAUGGACUACACCUAGAGAGGGGUGAAUAGGUGUUGUAGUACAAAUUAAAAAAUCUCCCAACAAAGAUUACCUAACCUUAGACUAUCUCAAUGUCAAUAACCUUCUCUUCCAACAACUUUUCAACAAAACAUAACAUCCACAAGCAAGAAUGUAUGCAUCAACACUCUCCCAACAAUUAAGAAAUGCAAAACACAUACAAAUGCUUCAACACUCCUCGAGAAUAAAUCAAAAUGUAAAGUGAGAGAAAGAGACAAUGAACAUUGGAUUUUUAACGUGGAAAACCUCCGAAGAGAUAAAAAACCACGGGCCUAUCACCGAUUGAAAAACUCCACUAUGAAGAACAAAAACUGAGCACAAGGUUUUACCUAGCUGAAACCAACCAAUCCUUCUCAUAGUUUACAUGAACACACCUCCUUAAGAUCACCCAAAAGGACUAUCUUAAUCUUAUAAAGAUAUCAUGGUGCCUCUAUUGAGAAUACCUAUUGCUACCAACUUUCAUCAACAGUGGCGCAAUCCAUAUGGAAUAUAUGAUUAUCUUAGGAUCUCAUCCAUAGAUUAAAAUCACUACUAACUUUGGCAUAAACUUAGUAUUAUCUCAAGAUUGAGAGACAAUACAAUGUAGUAGAUUAGUGAAUUCAUAACUACUUAAUAGUCUUACGUCAUGACUCACUAUAGGUUUUAUCUGAUGUGUAACUAUAUAUAUACUAGUGCACUCACUAUGGGAAACUCAUCCUAAUGGCCAAGACCAUCCAAUAUUACUCUAAUUAGAAGGUGGUACACUACAACCUCUAAUGGGUUGUCUAGAUCCACAAAUUGGUUGUGAAUAAAUCAUCUAUUUGUAAGGAACCCAUAACUUGGAUCUUUUGUAAGACAUGUACAAUGCAAGAAAUGCUAGGUGAGAAUGUUUAUAAAGUAUGCUUUUAAGGGCUCAUCCUAACAAUAGGGUUCUUUAGGUUCUUUUGGCAAGUUUGAAAGCACUAAACAAAAGGAAAAGUUCAAGAAAUGGAGUAAGAAGAGCAAAGAGAAGGGAAAAUGUUUCCUUUGUAAAAAGAAAGACCACUAGAAAGAGAAGUGCUUGAAUUCUUGAAGAAAAAACAAGGUAUGUAUCAUUCACUUUUAGUUGAAUCCUAUUUAAUGGUGGAUUCCACCAACUCUUGGUAGAUUGAUUUUAGGGCCACUAAUCAUAUCAUUCUUGAGUCUAAAAAGGACUUCAUUCCAGUUUCUAAUUUAUGUAAAUCAAAUUAUUCAAUGUUUUUCAAUAAAUAAGUUAUUAUUAAAAUGAAUAAUUCAUUUAUAUUCUUAGGAUCAUUGGUUGAUAAUCUUUAUCAUUUAUCUCCAUUAUCACUAUUGCCAAGUAAUGAAAAUAAUCAUAUCUCACUUUAAAGAAAAGAACCCAACACUAAUCAAACAUAACUUUGGCACUUACACCUAGGUUAUAUUAAUUUAAACAUGAUCCAAAACCUGGUUAAGUUUGGAAUAUUACCCUCUUUGAUUCAAGAGGAUCUUCUAAUCUAUGAAUCUUAUAUGAAAGGAAAAAUGACCAAGAGACCCCUUAUUAUUGAAGGAUAGAAAGCCAAGGAGUGUUUGAAGUUAGUGUAUACUAACUUUUGUGGGACUUUUAAUGUCCAUUCAUGAGAAGGGUAUGACUAUUUCAUCAUCAAUACCAAUAAAUACUCUAGGUUUGGAUAUACUUACCAAAUACAUAGGAAAUCAGAUACCUUAGAUUAAUUCAUUGAAUUUAAGUUAGAAUUAGAAAACAAAUCAGGAAAACAUUUAAAGGCACAUACACCUUGAAGAUUGUGGCUUACCUACCUAACCUAGUACCUUCCAAGUUGGUACCUUUAACUCCUACCAAGAUGUGAGUUGGUCGUAAACCUAGUUUGUGACACAUUCGUAUUUAGGGGUGUCUAGCACAUAUGAUGAAAAAUAGGUAGACAAGUUAAAAAGGUUAUAGGAAUGACAGUUUGUAGGCUAUCCAAAAUGAACAAAAGGGUGUUAUUUUUAAAGUCAGAUUGACUAAAAGGUAUUUGUUAGCAUAAAUGUUAGAUUUCUAGAAGAAGACUAUAUGAUAAGUAAUAGGGUAAAGAAUGAUAUAAAUUGGAGAGCACUUGAAGGCAUUCCCACAUUAGCAUAGAAAACUAUAGGUCUAGAGAUUUUUACACCUGUCAUUCCUAGUAGUUCUACUACAUGAGAGUCUUUUCAUAGUAAUAGGGUUGUUAUACAAUCAUAUAGGUUCAUGUAUUAGUGUUUUGAGGCUAGUAUAGAGGAACAUGGGAUUGAUCCCACAAAUUAAAAUAAUGCAAUGAGCUAUAGAGGUAGAGUUAGAAUCUAUGUAUUCUAACGAAGUCUAGGAUUUUGUAGAAGCACUUGAAAUGAUAAAACACAGGGUGAAAAUGGGUCUAUAAGAGGAAGAGAGGAGUAGAUGAAAAGGUUGAUACACAUAAGGCUAGGCUUAUAGUGAAGGGUUAUAAUUAGAAACUUGGUUUUGAUUAUGAAGAGACCUUCUCAUCAGUGGCCAUGCUCAAAUCCAUCAGAAUACUCCUAUGCAUUGCAACAUAUCUCAAUUAUGAGAUUUGAAAAAUGGAUGUUAAGAAAAAGAUCUUGAACGACUAUCUUGAUGAGAGCAUCUAUAUAAUGCAACUAGACAAUUUCAUAGCAAAGGGCCAAGAGCACCUUGUGUGCAAGUUGCAUAAAUUCAUUUAUAGAUUAAAGUAAGCAUCUGACUCAUGGAACAAUCGUUUUGACUAGGUAAUCAACACUCUUGAUUUUGAUCAAAUAAGGGUGAACCUUAUUGUAGACCCUCCAUUUUUUUUUAGUAGCACAUGUUAUUCUAUGUAUUUUCCUUCUUUUCUCAUUGCAUUAUAGUCACCCAAUGGUGGUCCAUUAUCACUCAUUUAGUUUAGUAUUUUUUGAACCACCUUGAGAGAUUUAUUGUUGAGUGAUUUUUAUAAAUCCCAAAUGUGAUCUUAGUUGCAUGCUUGGUCUAACUCACUUAGAUGUUGCAUUUUAGGUUUAGUUCACUUAGUUAUGUGCUUAGUCUAGCUCACUUAGUUGUCUUUUAAGUUUAUUUCACUGAUUUGCACCUUAGUCUAGCUUGCUUAGUUACAUUUCAAGUUUAGUUUACUUAGUUGCAUUUUGGGCUUAGUUCAUUUAGUUGCCUUCUUUGUCUAGCUCAUAGUUGAAUUCUUAUUUUAGCUCACUUAGUUGCAUUUUAGGUUUAGUCACUUAGUUGCAUGCUUAGUCUAGCUCACUUAGUUGUAUUUUAAGUUUAGUUUGCAUAGUUGCAUUUUAAGUUUAGUUUACUUAGUUGCAUGUUCAAUAUAUUGGAGAUUGAAUAGGUUGCUUUUGGGUGCAUGGCUAUGGGAGAAAAAUAAGGAAAUAAUGAAAUUUUGUAUGGACUCCUAAGAAGGAUACAAAUGGCUAUAAGGAGGAAAAUUUGGAAACUUUGCGAUUUGAUGGAUUCUCUUGAGGUAUGCAUGGUUAGGAUGUAGGAGAGGAUAAGGAAGACAUUUUGAUUUUAGGAAGGAGUCUAUUUGAUAUACACCGGUAUAAGGUGGUUCUUAAGGAAGGAAGAAGAUUUUGAGAAGUUUGAGUUAGUAAAGGAUUCCCUUGGAGACACGGAUUUGAUUUUUGAAGAUUGAGAUAGAGAAGAAGAUUCAAGCUAUAUUUGACUUUGCCAUUGAGAUGAUUUUUUUUUUUAAGGACAUUCAUGCCACUUGGAGUUUUAGAUAGGUAGGAUUCUUCUUAGAAAGAGAAAGAGAGUUUUUGAGGAAAAAAAUGACCCUCUUUGGGAUGUUAUUUGAGAUGGAGAUUGAGAGGAUUAGUUUUUGGGGAUCUAGGGAUUGAGAUUGGAGAUUGUGAAAGAGCAUUGAGAUAAGGAGAUUCAAAAGGACUCCGUUUGGUUCAAGCUACAUUGAGAUUGGAGAUAGACAUUCAUGUAAUAGGGAGAAGAUAAUAAGGAAUGGUGUAGUUGCCACUAAUGGAGAAGAGAAGUUGAAGAUGCCAUGGAGACUUUGGAGAAGGGUUUGACCACGCCAUUGGAGAAGGAAAACACGAUUGUCACUAAUUUAGAUAUGAGAAAAAAUAAGAUCUUGAAAAAAAAAUGGUUUUAGGAAGAAAAAGUGAGAUCUUAAGAAGAAAAUGUGACAUCUUGAGAAGAAAAAGUGACAUCUUGAAAAGAAAAGAUGGCAUCUUAAGAGGAAAAGGUGAAGUCUUGAAAGGCUAGAGAUGUGACAUAGCAAGAAAAAAAAGGAAGCUUCAUUUUUUUGGAGGAGAGGUAUUAUUCUCUUUAAUUUUUCUGCAUAUCUUAAUUAUGAUCAUUUGUCCAUCUUUCUCUUUUACUUCCAUCUUGCUUGAAUAUGGAAUCUCUUUAGUUGGUGUGGAUGCGUAGGCCACAUGGAUUGUUGGUAUUCAUUGAUUGGAUGAUUGUUGAAGAUGAAUGGUUGUUUAUGCUUAAGAUCUAUUUUACUCAUGUUUUUAUUGGUUUUCUUUCACUUAGUUUAAGCCUCUUUGAUAUCACAUGACAUGAGGCCUUGCAUCACUUGGUAUCUUUACUUUGGUUCCAUUUAUUUGAUUGUUUCUUUGAGAUGUUUGAGUUUAGGUUUAGUUAUUACCUCUCACACAUUCACCCACACACCUAUCCUUACUUUAAGUUUUGUUAUCUUGUUUUCAUCUUGGGGUCUUAUGUGAAUUGAUUAUUUUAAAAUAUGUUUUUAAGAGGAUUUCUAUAAAAAUUUGGUUUUUCCAUUUUCCAAGUUCAUCUUAGAUCUUUAGAUUAUAAAAAUUAUUUUUUGAAAAACAUUCAACCAUGUUUCAAUUGGUAUGCACUUUUCUUAUUGAUUUUCAUUGUUUUUUGGUUUUCUUACAUGAAUAAAAUCCAUGGCUCCCAAUAAUGGAAUAACUCUCGGUCCUUAUAAGCUUCGUCAUGAUUAUGGAAGAUUAAGAAACCUGUAUUUUAUUCAUUGACUUUAAUAUGGACCAUGGUAGAGUCCAACAUACUUUCAACUUUUCCAAAUAAAAGCCUACUGCCAUUUUAGUUGUCUCACUAACCUUUAUGAUGAAAAAUUGGAAUCAAGGCACUUAGGGUUCUUCCAAUAAUAUUUUGAUAUUUGCAUGAUGUUUCUAACUUCCUACCUUGUCAAGCAGAUUUAAUUUGGGCUUCAAAUCAUUUCUCAAUUAAGAGAUUUAAAUAAGUUUUUACAUAGGUUCCAUUUUAACCUUAUUUUGGACACCUGAAUUGAUUAUGAAAAAUUAAAUUAUUUCUCAAUUUCCUUAAUUUUUUUUAUAUUUUUUCCUUAAUAUAAUUUUCUUAAAUUUAAUUUUAGGACUUUUUUUCAUUGAAAAUCAAUUUUCGAAGUGGGAGAAGAAAAAAAUAUUUUUCUUACCCUUACUGCGAAACCUAUUCUAAGUCAAGAAUUGUUUGGCUUAAUUUAUUUGUGAGAUUUAAUCAUUUUUUAAAUUUUCAUUGUAAAAUAUACAUAUUGAAUGUAUUGUAAAAAAUUUAACUUGAUUUUAUCAUACUUCUAGGUUAGUCAAAUAAAUUCAUUUUUAUAUGUUAUUGAAAUUUGCUCUAUUUCUUGUGAUUUUGAUUUUGAAAUAAUCUGGUAUUGAUUGGAAUCUAAUGAAAUAAUUUGGCCUUUUGGAUUGUAAUCUAGGUAUGUAGGAGAUGUUUUGAAAUAUUUUUCAUGAUAAAAUUCAUUUUCUAAAUAUUUUUUUAGGAUUUAUUUUUAAGUCCUUCUAUUUUGGAUAUACGUUGAUUAUUUUGUAUAGUGUUCAUAGUAUGAAUUCAUUUGGUAUUGAUUGACACCUAAUUAAAUAAUUUGGGAUUUUGAAUUGUGAUAUGGAAAUAUUGAAGAUGUUGUCAAUUUUAUUUUAUUUAUUUUUUUGAUGAAAUAACACCUCUAGAUAUUUUUUUAGGAUUUACUUUUUGAAUGCUCUCUGUGUUAUAGCUGAAAGUCUUGUUUGUUGUUAAUAUUUUAGCUUCUUUAGACAUGCUUUUAGGUUGCCUUGACUUUUGUGAUACAUUGCAGAUAACUUAUACAUAUUAAAUAAGUUAUUUUAUCUUAUAUUAGAUGAAUAUAUGUUGAAAUCUUUAAUCUAACUAUUGUGUAUUAUUUCAACUUAUUUCAUUUUUUUAGUCUUUGACUUGGAUUUGAUUGUAUGUAAAAUGAGACCUCACCUAUGAUAUCACAUUCAUUAUUUCAUCCAUUAAGCUAAUCCCUUUGGUCUUAUGAAAACGCUUGCUAUGUUAUAUUUGUGUAUUACAGGACAUUUGCUAUGUUAUACUUGUGUAUUACAGGACAUUUGCUAUGUUAUACUUGUGUAUUACAGGACAUUUGCUAUGUUAUACUUGUUUAACUAACCUUAUUAUUCUAUGGAAUCACUUUAGAUUGCAGUUCAGGUACAUUCCUUCCUUUUUCUUAUAUGUUUGAUUAUACUUGAUAUGCAUAUCUUAAGUGAGUAGCAUUUUGCUAGGCUUUUUGUUAUUAUCAUUUUUACUUUAUUCUUGCUCUUCGAUAUCCAUGAUUUACAAAUCAAUUGUUAUAAUUACCUCAACUUUAUUAGUUGAGAUCUUUAUUGAGGGUUUAGAGGGGUGCUACCUUCCUAAUAGGUAAUUUGACCCCCAAUCUUAGACUCGGUUAUCAAAGGCCUACUUUUCCAAAUAAAGAGUCAUUUUUAGGGUUUUGUUUCUUAUUUUAUUUUUCAUUUAACAAAUAAAUAAAAAUAGGUGGCGACUCCAAUUUUUAUAAAAAUCAGUCUUUUACUAAAAAUGAGUCUCACCAUCAAGUGGGAAUGCACAUGAAAAAAAUGCAAGUCCACACUUACCACAAGAAUAAGAAAAUUAUGUUGUCUUAAGCCAUCGACAUUGACAAUCUUAUUGUUAAGUGUGUGAUGCAGGACUCCAAGAAGGGUCUACUACCCUUUAGAUAUGGAGUACCUAUUUCUCAAGAUCAAUAUCUUAAGACAUAUGAGAAAAAUCAUAUGAAGGCAAUACCCUAUGCCUCAAUUGUGGGUAGCCUUAUGUAUAAGAUGUUAUACAUUAGAUAAGAUAUUUGCUUUUGUUAUAAGGAUGGUGAGUAGAUAUCAGUCUAAUCUAGGACCAGAGCAUUGGAUGGUGGUCAAGCAUAUGCUUAAGUAUCUUUUGAAGAAUGAGAAAUUAUAUGCUAGUGUAUAAUCGUAAGUUUACCUCUAGGUUAGUGUUCGCUUUAGAUUAUGAGGUUGUCAAUUGGAGAAGUGUGAAGCAGUCCUAUAUUUUUUACUCCACUAUGGAAGCCAAGUAUGUUGUUGCUUCUACAAUAAUAAAAGGAAUCUAUUUAAUUGGCUCAGAAUGUUUCUCAUAGGACUUGGGGUAGUGCCCUAAGUUGUACCAUCUUUGAUACUAUUUUAUGAUAACAUUGGAGUGAUACCACAAUCUAAAGAACCAAGAAACCACUAGAAUGGUAAACACAUAGAGAAGGAGUAUUACUUGAUACAUGAGAUAAUAAUGAGAGGAGAUGUGGUUGUGGAGAACAUUGCUUUUAUGGAAAACUUAGCAAAUCCCUUCACCAAGACUUUGUCUACUACAUUCUUUGAUGGUCAUAGGGAUAGCAUAAGUGUCAAAUGUAUUCCUAUCAUGCUUUAAGGCUAGUGGGAGUUUGUUGGGAUAGAUUCUAAGAAAGCAUGACAUUAUGUAAUAGAUUUAGAUUCAUUAAUAAAUUAAUUUAUUUAUGAUUUAGUUUCCCUUUUGUGGAAUUUAACAUACGCUAUUUGUCAACUACGACAUGACAAUUGAUCACACAAUAUGAGGAUUUAUAACUUGAGGAUGGUAAAGGUAAUCUUAAGAGGUUGAUAGAAAUCACCUAGUUAGAUUAUGGCUCCAAGUCGUGGGAAGACUCCAUAUAGUGGAUAGUAUGUCACAAACUUGAGUAGUUAUGUCUUAUUGUAAUAUACAUAAGGUACUAGAGUGUAGUUGACUCUCUAUAGGAGGAUGUUGAGUCAACUUCAGAAUUAGAUUCUGAGGGAGUUAGUAUUAUCCUAUGGUUUUUAAUGGGCCUUGGUCGAGCUCAUAUUUGAUAAUGGUAUGGUUUAUAAGGGUUUGAUUGGUUCUUAGUUCACUUAUGUGAAUAAAGGUGUUUUAGUAAAUAUGUAAGAUUAGUGUUAGUGAAUAAUCUCCUUUAACUAUACUAAUUGAUUAAUUAGGACAUUUUUUAAGCUAGAUUAAGUGACCUAGCCUAAGGUGGCCUUAAGUCAUUUAAGCCUACAAAAAUCCUAUAAAUACCCCUUUUAGGGGUUAGGGUAUCACUCUUGAUAGUCUUGUUUUCUUACCAGUCAAAGAGAGAACCAUAACCUCUACCCUCUUGAGAUCUGCACUAUCUCAAUGUCUUGGAUUGAAAGAGGAGCCAUCAGGUAGAAGAUUGCUACAUGUGCGAGAUCUUCUAUAACUUUGUAGUUUUCUACACAAACAAGAAUUGAUAUGGGAACAUCCUAAUCUAGGUAAGCACAUCCAAACCAAGAGAUCUAGUUCUUUAAAAAGUUUUUAUAUACUUAUUGGUCUCCAUUACUAGGGUCUAGAUAGCCCUAAGAAGAUUACAUGCACCUAAUAAGAUCCAGGGCUUGGGAGCUAUGUAAUCUGAGAUUCCCUACAAUUGGUAUUAGAGCCUUAGGUGAGGUUUGAGCAUGCUAAAGCCUUUCUUGGAUAUGCUAACCACUGUUUUGCAAGGUUUAUUCAAAGGGUUCAAACGGAUGAAUAAUGGAAGGUUUUUUUUUUCUCAAUUUAAUUAUGCUAGUUGAAUGGAUUCUAAGAACUUUUAAUUGGAAUGUAAAAAUUUGAUUUUCAAUUUGCAUACUUUGAUUGUAAACUUUGGUUUAAAAGAGUAUAAGGCUUUGUGUUUCUAUGUAAAAUGUUUUAUCUUUCAUCAAUCUUUAUAAUCCCCGAGGACAUGGAGGUGAUCUAAUCAAUCAAGGAGCAUCCAUGGUGAAUCCCUAAUCAAAGAAAGCUAAGUUUUUCAAUGGAAUGGCAAUAAAAGAAGAGUUAGAAUGACUCUUAGAUUGGAGAAUGCAAUAGCAAUGCUCAAGCGGCUAGAUUUACGCUCAUGUAGUCAUCAAGUGCUUAAGGGCCCUUCUAAUGUUGCAUCCAGUGACAAAAGCCUUUCUAGUGCUUCAAUCAUGCUUCCAACAAUUUUGGUGUCAUCAUGGGUAGUUUUAAGGUUUUAAAGGUAUUUUAGGGUUUUUGCAAUUAUUUCUAACCCUAAUUUUUGUUGCAAGCAUUUUUGGUUCAUUUGGAUUUUUUGAAAAUCCAUUAUUCAGUCUUACCAAAAUCAUGCAGCAAGAUCCCUAAGACUAUGGGAAGCUAAUUUUUGUUAUUUCAUUUUAUUUCCUUAUUUUGCAUUAUGUUGAUUUUGCAUGGAAUUUGGAAUGUAUAAAAUAAUUAAAAAUGGUAAUUUUAUAUAUUCUUAUGGAAAGUAAGGGCUCAUUUAGUUGGCGAUUUUGAAAACUAUUAUGAGAAACAAUUUUUAAGAAGAAUUUUUGGUGUUUUUAGAAACAAAAUUUGCAUUUGGAAAUUGAAUUAUGAAAAAUAGUUUUUGUUCUCGAGAACAACAAACAUAUUUUUGGUUGAGUUAUAAAAAGAGGUAAAACAAAAAACCAAUGUUUUAAAAACCGGACCGGACCGACCGGUCCAACCGUCGACCGGUCACAAUUCCGGUCCGAUCUGCCCUAUUGAACCGUUUAAGAUUUAAAUCGGCCACGAACCGUCGAAACCGGCGGUCGGACCGGUGACUCGAUCGAACCGGACGGUUCUAAUUGAACCUCCAUUUUAAAGGAUCCUUGCAUUAAAAAGCUUUGGCAAAUGCCCAUUCUGGGCCUUGUCUCAUCAUGACAAAGCCCAAACCCCACUCAACCAUAUUGUGGGCUUAGUCUUGAGCCCACCCAGUGAGGCACUGUAUUGGUCUUCAAUGUGGAUAGCAUUUAUAGGCACCCUUUGCAUCCUCAUUUCUCUUAGAAUCUGAUGUGGGAUUCCUAACCAACCUAAUCAAUGAAAAAAAUAAUAACAAGUCCCUCACCCAAGAGGAAUUGAACCUUGGACCCCAGAUUCGGAAGGCAUCCUAGGCACCACUCAACUACACAACUUUUGUUAUCUAAUGUGCUAAACAAAAUAAUAUAUAUUAGACUUUAAAUUUUUUUUGUAAUGUUAAAUAAAAAUAAUAUAAUAUUUUUAAAAAUGAUAAAAUUAGUUUAAAUUUUCAUUUUUAAUAUAUUCACAUUUAAAUAUUUUACAUAUUUCAUUUAACAAAAUUAAAAAUAUUAAUAUGAUUUAAUUUGAUAAUAUUAUUGAUUUUUAAUUUAUUCAUAUAUAUUUUAAAAUUUUUAUAAUUAUUUUUAAUUUUAAUAAUAUAUAAAUUAUAUAUUUAUGAUGUCACCAGUUCAAUAGCGGUUCGACCGCCGGUCUGACCGUCGAUCCGACCAGUGAACCGUGAACCGAUAACUUUUCCGGUUUGAUUACCGGUCCGGUUAUGAAAACAUUGCAAAAAACACGUUUGGAAGUUGUUUCUUUUUUAAAAAAAAAAAAAGAAAAAGAAAAAAACAUUGAGUGUUUUCUUUAACUAACUUGAUAUUAUAAAUAUAUAGAUAAUUCUAAGAAGAGAUCAUGUUUAAAUAAAAAUAAAAAUAAAAAUAAAAACAAAAAAAUUAAAAAAAGACAUUGAAGUUUGAGCUUUCUAAGGAAAAAUGAGUUAUUCAAUGCCAUAUAUUUUGCAUUCCAUGCUCAGUUACUAGAAUCAAUUUGCAUAGAUCAAAUGUACUAAAUGGAUUGUAGGGAUUUUUUCUUUUUCAAUGUUUUAGUUUUCAACAUUUAUGAUUUACUUUUUAUCAAAAACAAAAACAUAGUCAUUAAAAUUAAGAGAUUACAAAAAAAAAAAAAAAAAAUGAGAAAUUCCUCAUUAACUUGUAAAACCAGAUAAAAUAAAAAAUAAAAAAAAAGUUCAACACUUAUUAUUAUCAAAGCAAACACCUUAGUCAAAAAAAGGGAAAACUUCUUAUCUUUUGAAAACCAAAACAACAAAUAAGCCCUAAAACUCAAGAAAAUAUAUGCUUUGUUUUUCCUAUAUUUUCCCCCAUCCAAACAAAGUAUAAUAUAAUUAACUCAUUUCCAACACUAAUCACACAAAGAAACCAUAAAAUUAUUACAAAACUUAAAACAUGUGCAAAAUUGCACGCAAAGCACUUCCUGUUUAACCCUAGUUGAAUGGGUUACAAUAAAAUAAACAUUAAAAAAAAACCAAAAAAAAAUGGAUUUCUAUUGCCCAGAUAAAAAUAUACUAUUUUUUAUUGCUAAAAAAAUAUAAGAAAUAGAACAUGAAAAUAAGCUCCAAAAUGUAUGUUAUUUCUUCUUUCCCUCUGUUUUCUUAGUAACCAAAUAAGGAACUUAUACCACCUAGAGAAAUUGUUUGGUUGCCUAGAAAAUGUAAAAUUAGUAUGAUUCAAAAUGAAAGCUCCAAAAUGCUUCUUUUUCUAGUCUUGCCUGCUUUACUAGAAACCAAACAAACAAUUUGUCAGACCUCAGCUUAAAUCCAUUUUUUCUAAUAAAACACCAAAUUCAAACAUGGAGAAACUAGAGAAGAAAAAAAUCUACCUUCAUGCGAAAUGUAAGAACAAGAAUAAACCCCCAAUCUAUGUUUUUUUUUUUUUGGUCUCCUUACUUUUACCAUAUAUCAAACAAAGAACUUAUCAAACCCCACUAUAUGUCCUUAUAUAAUCCUUUAUAAGCUCAUUGCUUUGCUGCGCUUCUCUUGCUGAUUUCAACAAUGCUCAUUGGCUAUCAAAGCUUGGGACUAAUGAUGCCAGCCAAGUUAAUAAAUCGGACUGCUUCAGAAUGAUGAUAGUGUCAAAGCCUGUUAUAUGCCAAGAAUGAUCGGUUAAUUCACAGUAGUGAAAAUCCAAUGAAUUCUAUUUCUUCUAGUGAGAACAAGAACAACACUUUCUCAUGGAUGUACAAUAUAAAAAGAAAUUGAAACAGAUCACAGAGUGAUAUUUUUUGUAGUAAUAUUUUUUUUUUCUAGAUUAAAACAUUAAGACGUAAUGUAAAAUAGGAAAACUACUCAUGAUAUUUAAUAAAUAAGUAAUUAACACAAAGUAUAUGCACAUCAGCAUUGACAUGCACAUGAAAAUUUGAAUCUGGAUCAUCAUAUUCUUUAGCAACAAGUCUAUCCCAAAAUUGACAUGAAAAUUUGACAUGUUAAAAGAAACUAGAUAACCUUGAAACAAAAAUACCUUCACACAAUAGGUAAAGAGUAAUUUUAUUGUGCCUAAAUACACUUCUUGAUGGAGUCACUGAUAACAUGAAAAUGUAGGUAACCUUAAUUUUGUAAAGUUAAUAAGGCAGGCCAUUGUAUGUCUGAGAAGAAAAUAGAGACUACAUUCUAUGAGAAUAUCAUUUCCAAGGAUAAAUUAAUUAAUAAGAAGUUUCUCUGAUGCUGUAACAAAUAAAUGGUUAUAUAUGAACUUGAGGAACCAUAAGAGCAAGAUCUAGAAAGCCAAUUUGGACAUAGAACCAUCAAACAUGAUCUCUGACUAGAGGUCAUGAUCAAAUGCAUGAGUAUUGGCUUUAACAAUGAUAAAUUACUUUUUCAAAGAGUUAUUGGCAGCUGCACAAGCUCUUGCCUUUUGCAGCACACACAUAACUUUUGGGACGGCACCCUUCUUCUCUCUCUUUCUCUUUUGUAAGUUUGACAUCAAUCAGUGAACGCAUGUAAAAUAGCUUAACUCUCACUUCUAUUUCUGGUUCUAAUUUCUUACUUCAUGAAAUCUGUUGCCUUUAUGCUUAUAAGAUAAAGUUUUGUCCUAGAAUAAUUGAUGAUUCGUGAUUCUUGCAGCAAGUUACGAGGGCACCCAUAUGAAGGAUACGUAAGGUGCAUUAUGGUUAAAAUAAGAAAUUAGGAGACUACUUAAUUCACAUACGGUUCUGGUAAAGGUGUUGAUUAGGAUGGUUCAAUUUUUUGGAAGUCAAUGAGCAAUCAACUACAUUACUUGUAAGAGUUCUUGUCUUCACUACAACUGAAGAAUGCUCUUAUUUUGGUUUCAAGAAAUGGACUUCUAUAAAAUGACAAAAUCAAGGAAUAGUGGACUCAAGGGAUACCAUGAAUCAACCAUGGAAGAAGCUAGUACGUCACACCUUACCUUAUUAUUCUGUCUAAAAUCAAAAUCCUUCUUGGUGAGGGAGGAAUCUGGAUCAUUGUUGCCAUGACUAUUGCUGGACCAGAAGCCUUUCCUUAUUCUCUGCUCUUAUCAUGGCCUCAACAUUUGCAGAAACAUUUAAGGUUACUACAUCCAUGCAUUCAGUUUUGAGGCUGAGAAUUUCUCAUCAGUCCUCAGCAAAGCUCAAAAGAUUCUCUUCCCCAGGAGAUACUUAUUCUGUGAAGAAAAAAGUUCCAGUGGUUAACUAACACAUAGUUGGUCAAUUUGAAAACUAGAGGACAGAUACAGCAGAUUUAUGGUUCAGAUUUAUGAAUUUAGUACUGCAAAGGUAAUAUGCUCACCUCUGGGCCUAGGAUUGUUCCUAACCAUUAUAUGUGUAAGGCAUUCGUGUUGUCUAACUGAAGUGCUAAGCCAAUGUUUAGCACCAUAUGCAUACAUAAGGAUGCCACAGAGAGCAUAUCUCUGGAACUGAACCAUUACCAGCUUUUGAAUGCUCAACCCAUAUAAUCUGAUACAAACAACAAUUACAACAUGUGUUAGUCGUCAUGAACUAAAAAGCACAUCUAUUUAAGAGUUCAUGUUUGAUUUAGGUUGCAUAUCCAUUCACCUUGCAGAGUCCAUCUGGAAGUUGUGCGAUUAUGCAGCCUGAUGGCCUUCUCUGAUAUCAACUACUCCCCAUAUCUCAUUGGUCAGCUGCUUUCUGUAUCUUGCUAAAUAGGAUUCUUGAGUUAGAGCUAAUAAUGAAGACUUUGAGCUUCUGCAGCCAUCAGGAAAGUCAUUAAAUUGAAGAAUUCUUAGAAUGGUUGUUGCAAUUGAACAGACAAAGCAAUCAAAACUCAAUGCAUGACUGAUGGUUUAAUUAUGAACAGAGAAAGGAACACUCCCAAAGUACCUUUCUGUGUUUAUCUUCCUUUACCCUCUCUUUGUCAAACGUGACUAAGAAAUGCUUUCUCUUUGUUAAGUUUGAUAUUCAUUUAUAAAUGAAUAUAAAACAAGUGACGCCUAGCUUAUAUAUCUGGCUGCUCCUAUUGGAGAGGAAUUAAAAACUUGGCUAGAUGCAUGUAGGGAGAAUUUUGCUGCUUCCAAUUGCCUAGGAAGAUAAAAAUAUAUUGGAGGAAUGUAUAUGUAUUGAGGAAAUCAACAUGGGUUUAAGCAGACAAUAGUAUAAGAGAACGCAACUAAGUAAGCUGAUAUGACCAAGAAUGUCGACAACAGAUAUGUGGUGGUAACAUAUAAAACAACAUUUUGAUUAUGUCUUCAUGCAAGGUCUAAAAUGUGAAAGUACUUUUGGAUGACCUCUUAAGGAAGAUGUAAAUCAAAUAUUAAAGAAAAAAAAUAGCUUCAAUCACCUAGAGGAGGAAUCUUCGAUGCCUUAAUUUAAUGACCCUAUGUAGUGAGCAAAUGGUAGACAAAACCAAAUAUUAAUGAUAUUAUAGAAGCCUCUAAAUUAAUUAACUCUUAGAGGCAAAGAUCCAUUUCAUCACACCCAUCAUUAGAAAGAUGUGAAAGUCAGUAAUCAAUAACUUACUCCUUGUUUACUAGGAUUAAGACAACCAAAGAAUGAAAGUUAGUGUAUUUUGUUUAGUUAAUAAUUUUGUUCUAUAUAUUUCUUAUUAGAUGAGACUUACUUCCUUGAGUCUUACCGGUCUUAAGAUGAUUUUGGAUUUAUAAGACUUGAUUUUAGAAUACUUUAAUAAUCAAAUUCAAGGUAAAUAUAAAUUUAUAAAUUGGUAAAAUUUUUGGAAUGACAAUUACAUGUUUUGAAUUGAAAAUAACUUGAAAAAGGAAAAUGGAAUAUUGGAAAGAAGGGGGAGAGCAUUCGAAUGCCUUGAGGAUGGAAUUGAAAUGCCUUGAGGAUGCUUCAAAAUCCAUGAGUAAACGCCCCCAAGGAGUUCAAAUGCCUUUGAAACAGCCCAAGAACCGUUCAAAAAUCCAAGGGGGUGUUCAAACACCCACCUCAAGUGUUCGAAAGAUCAAUGAUGUUUGUAAGUUUCCAAAUUCUAUUUUAAUUCAAAAUAUUAUGUUUUUGGGAUGUCGUAAAAGAUUGGAAACUUUUGUAAUUGGUUACUAGGCGUUUAGAAUGUUUUAUAAUUGGGAAAACCCUUCAUAAUGGGAGUCUAGGGUUUUUCAAAUAUAAAAGGAUUUGUUUUGUUGUUAAUUUGGUGGACUCCAUAGGAACCCUAAGAAAGAGAAAAACCUAAAGAGAAUAAUUUUCAUUUCCAAAGCUUGAUCGUCCGAUUCUCAAACUUUCAAGUUAUUUCUUGAAAGUAAUUUUUGGCUUCAACAAAAGUUAUAAAUCUUAUUGCAAUACUUCGAUAAGGGCUUCAAAGGAUCUAUGAAGAAGCACGAGGGUGCAUUGCAUCAAGGACAUGGAUAAUGUGCACAAGCACUGACAUUAUAAGACCUUAGGAAGUAGGUGCAUCUAGUUAGGUAAAAUUUUGUACCAUUUUCUCAUAGUUAAGGGAUUAUUUAAUGGUUGAGAAACUACUCAUGAUUUUUUAGUUGCUAAGUGGUUUUCUCAUAUUCUAACCUAUGUAUUGUAUAUAAUCAAUUUUAGUUAUCUAUGUAUGAGAUUUUUUUUUCUCACUAAAAGAUUAAUCUAAAGGAACAAACUGAAAGUAGGUAAUAAAAAAAAUUAUUUAGGGAUUAAUUCAAGGGCUACCUAUUCACUCCCCUCUAGGUAAUUUUGUUACAUCAAGACUAGAUGUAAAAAAAUUUCCAAGCAAUAUCAGAGUUUGUAAAAAUUAUUUUGAAAUUUUUUGUUGAUUCCUACUAGUCUUGAUGAAUGGAACCAUAGGAAUUGGAUCUUGCAAGGUGAAAGAGUUUGAAAUACAGUGGCAUAUGGGUGGUUACCCCCACUCUUAGUUGACAAGAAUAAAUUAAAACCCAAGGUAGAGUGGAAUAAAUUGAACAAUGAAGGGAGUGAGGCAAAUGCCAAAGCCUUUAUAUUGUAUUUUCAAUAGAGUCAUUCCAGACAAGUUUUGUAGGAUUGAUUGAUACAUGUAAAUAUGAUAAAGAGGCUUGAGACAUUCUUGCAAUAACAUAUGAGAACACUUCUACCAUGAAGUUGUCAAAAUUGCAAAUGUUAACUACAAAGUUUGAAAGGCCAAAGAUGAAAGAUGAUAAAACAUUCUUUGAGUUUUAUACUAAACUCAAUGAUAUUGUUGACUCAUGUUUCAAUCUAGGAGAAAGAAUUCUUUACUCUAAAAUGGUUAGAGAAAUAGGGAGAGAUUUAGUGCUAAGGUGAUUGCAAUAUAGGAAAGUAAAAAACUAUAUAUGGAUAUAUUGAUGGUAUAUGAACUUGUAGCUUCUUUACAGUCCUAUGAGAUGACUUCCCACCCUUUAGGAGACCUAAACGGGCACCCUAAAGGCUUCAUUUAAAGAAAAAAUUGAGUAUGAAGAUUAGGGUGAAUCAUUUUUUAAUAAACCCAAAAUUUCCUCUUUUGCCAAAAAAUUCAAAAUACUUACAAAAAUGCAAGAGGAGACAAACACAAAAGAUGGUUCAAAGAAAGAGAAAAAUCCCUCCGAGAAAAUAAUGAAAAGGUCCAUCAAAAUCAUCUCAAAUUGAAUGUUUCAAUUGAGAAUAAGGAAAUUAAUAAUCUUAUUGCGUUCACUACCUCAUUACCCCAAUUCCCUAGGAUUGGAUAAAAAAAUCUAGUCGAAUCUAGUGAUGAGGAAGAAGGGAAAUUUGAAGAUCUUCAAGAAGCAUAAAAUACUAUCACAAAAGCUAUGAAAUAAAAUGUAAGAUCGUAAAAAUUUAAAGAAAAAGAAUUCUCACAUACAUUACAUACCUUAUUUUGACUAUGCUCAUCCUGAAAGAGAUCAAAAUCCUACUUGGUUAGGUAGGAAUCUAUGGAUGGUUGUUGCCAUGACUAGUGCUAGACCAGAAGGCUUUCUUUCAUUUUCUUAUUAUGGCCUUAAUGUUUUCAGAACUAUUUAAUGGUACUACAUCCAUGUGUUCUCUUUUGAGCACUGAGAUUGGCCCGAGAAUUUCUAGUCAUGCCUUCAGCAAAGCUCAAAAGAUUCUCUUCCCCAGGAGAUACUUAUUCUGUGAAGAAACAAAGCUCUGGUAGUUAACUAACACAUUGGUCAAUUUGCAAAUUACAGAACAGAUACAGCAGUAAUUUUAGAUCUGUGAAUUUAGUACUGGAAAUAUUGUAAUAUGCUGACCUUUAGGGCUAGGAUUGUUCCUAGCCAUUAUAUAUGUUAGGCGUUCAUGUUGUCUAACUGAAGUGCUAAGCCAAUGUUUAGAACCAUAUGCACACACAUCACCUUGUGAAUGCCCAACCCAUAUAAUCUGAUACAAAUAAUAAUUACAACGUGUGUUAAUUGCCAUGAACUAAAAAGCACAUAUAGUUAAGGGUUCAUGUUUGAUUUAGUCUUAUAUUCAUUCACCUUGUGCAGUUCAUCUGGGAUUGUUUCAUUAUGCAGCCUGAUGGUCUUCUCCGAUGCCAAUCACUCCCCAUACCUCAUUGGUCAACUGCUUACUAAAUAGCAUUCUCCAGUUGAAACCAAUAAUGAAGGGGACAUGAAAUUCUGCAGCCAUCAGCCAAGUCAUUAAACUGAAGAAUUUUUAGAAAAUAAUUACUAUUAUGGUUGUUGCAUGUAAACAGACAAAGCAAUCAAAAUCGAUGCAUGACCGAGAAAAGGGUUCAUAAUUAUGAACAAAAAAAUGGAACACUCCAACCUAUUUCAUCGCAUCCACUGUUAAAAUGAUGUGAAAGUUACUAAUUGAUAACGUACUCAUUGUUGAGUAGGACCAAGACAUAACCAAAGAAUGAAAGUGAAGUUUGAAUUUAUGGUAACGAAUUUUUUGUCUUCAAAUACUUCUAAAAUUGUUGUUAAAGAGAGUUUCCUAAAGGCAAAAGCAAUAUUUGAGUUUGUUGAUGUUAGGUGGGCAAUUUUGUUCCAUUUCUUACAUACUGUGAAGGAUACAUCAUACUUCCAAGGGUCGUACUAGUUCCCAAUCAAGCUCAAUGAUUUUAGAGUUGAUAAUUCUUGAGUCAUGUAUGCAUUUGGUAUUACUAAGGUUUAUGGAAUCCCUAUAAAAGGUUAACUUGUAUAUAUUUGAAGAAAAGCAUGAAAUAUGAAGUUAGGAACACCAGCAUGGGUAAGAUUUUCAAAAGUCCUAAAGGAAUGUUCAAACAUCCCCAAGGAAUAAUCAAAUAUCAAUAGGGCAUUCAAAUGCUAAAGUGUAGAAUGUUCAAACAUUCCAUAUACUGUUUGAAUAUCCCUUUCAAGUGUUCAAAUGUUGGAUUUUUUUUUUCUUUUGUUGUUGCAAUUUUUAUUCCAUUCUUCAUACUAUCGGGGCAUUUUUAUAGAAUAAAGUUAUAACUGUUUUCCAAAUCAAUGCCCUAAGUUUUUGGUAUGAAAACAUAAGUUUAAUAUAUUGAAGAUGAUGUACAAGAGAUUAAUCAUCUUGAUAGCAUUAAGAAGCACUCUAUUUCUCAAUCUUUCAUGACCAAUAUUCUUGAAACAAACCUUUUAGCAAAAUAAAGAUCAAGGAUUCAAGUUGCUAAAUCUCAAUAUGAUUUUUGAGGUGAUCCAAUAAGGGGCAUGGAGUACUACAUCAAGGAUGUGAAAAAAAAAAAAAAAAAGAGUUGAGGCACUAAUAAUAUAAAAUCCCGUAGAAUAGGUGCAUCUGAUUAGAUAAAACCAUGUGUUUUUUUUUUCUCCAAAUUAUUUAGGAGAUUAAUUGCAUUUGAUAGACCAUCCAUGUUUUUUACAUUUGGGGGUUUCUAGGUGAUUUUUCCACAUUACAUCUUGUGUCACUUGUAUGAUUUAAUAUUCUUAUGACUAAUAUAAUACAAUAGCUAUUUAUUGUUCAUAUAUAUGGAAGUAAUUAAAAAUUCUAAUAAAGAUUAUUACUUUGGUGAUAUCUCAUUUUUUGAAAACUAGACCGGACUAACUGGCUUGAUUGUGGUGGACUUUUUGGUCUGAUCCUCUCUAUAAAACUGGGUAGUUGAACCGGCCACAAGCCACCCGAACUAGCAGUUGGAUCGGUGAACCUCCUAGACCGGGUGGUUCCACAUGAACCGAAUGGUUCAAUUCCCAUACUCUUCUUUCAUUAAAUAGGCCCAAUUUAAAACCCAACAUUUCCCUCUUUUUCAUUCUAAGAGGCACAAAUAGAAGCCCAAGUCUUCCAUUAAAUGGUAUUAGAGGCAAAAGCCCAACCCAAACACCACUUAACGACACCUUGAUUUAUAAGGGCCUUUUUUUUUUAUUGUCCACAUCCAAUGUGGGAUUCAUAAUUUUAAGUAUAAGAAAAAUGAAGGAUUUGAACUCUAAACCUCCAAUUAAGCAAAAGACAUGGAUUACCACUUGGCUAUGUACACUUUGUUACUUUAAAUGACAAAUAAAAGAAUGUAUAUGUUUCUAAGAAGAUUUAUAAUAUUAAAUAAAUAUAAUAUAAUAUUUUCUAAAAUUAUAAAAUUAGUUAAAAUUAAAUAAUUAGAUUUUCUUUCAUUUUGAAUAUAUUCAUAUUAAAAUAUUAUACAUAUUUCAUUUAACAAAAUUCAAAAUAUUAAUAUAUUUAUAUUGAAUCAUAAGACAUUAAACUAAAUGUUGGAAACAAAGGAGAUGUCUAAUAUUGUUCUUGUCAUUCUACUUGUACUAUUUAUAGAAUAUAUGUUUUGUCAUUGUUAGCUAUUGCUUAAAUAAUCAAAAUAUUUAAACCACUAAAUGAUAAUAAAAUUAAAACGUCUAACAUAAGUAACAAGGAUAGAGUAAAAAAUAAUCUACAUAUUUAGAAUAGUUACUAAACUUGUCAAUUAACCAACUAAAUAAGGAUAAACUACAAUCCAUAUUAUGUCUCCUAGCUCUCCACUGGUUAUUGCCAUUACAAAAAAAUGUCACCAAAGUGUCAUUGGCACAAUCGGCUCCUAACAGUUAAGUGAAUAUAAUCAAAAUCAAAUAUGUAAAGCAUAUCUAUGAACAUACCUUUUCCGGCUCUGCUCAUUCCAUUGGAUUUCUAUUUGUAAGGAAGAACCUAAAUUGUCAAAUCAAAGAGUAAACACUUAACCUUGUUUACAAAACUAGGAAAUUAUGACAUGAGCUAUAACUUUAAAAAUGAUCUAAGGCCAAGCUAUCAUAGUCUCUAGAAAUCGUAUAAAUGUCAACAUGCAUUAAAACAAUUCCAAAUCUAGGCUUUUUAAUUGAAAUAAACAAGCAUGCAAGUUCUAGCCAUGUGCUAAAAGACUUGAAUUACUGCUAAAUCAAGUCCAUUAAUUAAAAUUAAUCUUUUCAAAAUAUUUUUUUUUUGAAUUUAUGUAUUUUCACUCAAAAUGCAUUCAAUUUUAUUCUUAUUAUAUAUAUAAAGGCACUUUGGUGGACAUAGAGACUCAUACCUCCAGAUGAAGGUGCCAUUUAAAGCAAAAUUGAUGCUUUUAAUAAGAUCUAAAGGUUGUUCACUUCCACCUGAUAAGAGAUAAUAAAAAGAAUUAAUGCUUCCUAAAAAUUGUCAUGACAACCAAUGAAUAGAAUAAAGGCUAAAGAGGAGUGCAAUCUACAUAAUAUUGAUAAAAGAGAAAUUUGUUUCCACAAGAAAAUUAGAAAGAAUUAAUGCUUCCUAAAAAUUGUCAUGACAACCAAUGAAUAGAAUAAAGGGUAAAGAGGAGUGCAAUCUACAUAAUACUGAUAGAAGAGAAAUUUGUCUCCACAAGAAAAUUAUACAAAAUUAUAGUAAUUUCAUAACAAAGUUAAUCACCAAAUAUUAUUAGCUCAUGAUAAACAAUGGUUUUGUGUAAUGUUUCAAACUUUUACUAAUAAAAUAAAAUGCUCACCCAAAACUUGAAUCAAAAGAAGUAGAAUGCCCAACAUCUAAGAUCAUUCCUUGUUGUAAGUUGAAGUAUUUGAAUGUGCAAGGGUUGUGUAAUUAAUGUAUGUAUAUCAUUACAUUACACAAAAAUAAUUUAUAGAAUUAACCAAUAUUAAAUAAAAGCAUGGAUGAUAAAAAUAAUAAAAAUAUGCUUCCAUAUAGAAAAUAUAUAAAUAAAAACUGCAUCAAUAAGCUAAUAAAAACAAAAACAUAAAUCUCAAUAUAAAUAAAAUAAAGAAAUGAGAACACAUAUAAAUAUGAUUUGGUUCACUACACUGGCGGGCCAGAUGGGACAUAGAAUUGAACCUCCUACCUUAGUUUUAAAAGAGAAAUACACCAACUGAUGGGCUAAACAUUACUUUCAGGUUUUUUUUGCUCCCCUUGAAAUUAACCUCUAUCCUAUUACCCCUUGCAUCCUAUUCCUAACUUCAUCCUUGCUUUACUAUAUUAUCAUUUUAUUUUUUCAAAACUAAAAUAAAUAAAAUAAAUUCAAUAUAAAACAAUAUUUAAAAUUAUAAAUGUCAAAUUUAAACCAUUCUAUAAAGUAAAAAACCAAACCUUUCUUAAGUAAUUGGCUAGUCAAUAGUUAAAGAAUUUCUAUAGAACGGAACUAUAAGAAUGACAUAGAUUUGGAGAUGUUUGUAAUGUUUUUAGUUGUGUUGGAGGAGAAAAGUAGUUCACAUGUAUUUAAGAAAAAUUUAAUUAAUUUGAUAAAAUUAAGAGGGAUGACAUAAAAUUUCAAGAUAAGUCAAAUACAAGGAAUAUCUUUCUAAUUAAAACAAUUUAAAAUGAAAGAAUUAUAUAUAAAUUAUAGUAAUAUGUGGGAACCAUGAAUAAAUGGUGUCCCAGUAGAUUUUUGUUUCCUUGAAGAAACCAAACUUGUUUACUUCACAUUUCUAGAAGGCCAAUUCAUAAUACUUCAUAGAUAUGGAUGUGCAUGCUACAUAUGUGUAGAAAUAUAGGCAUUAUGUGCAUAGCAAUGGUUGUCAAAUGUGCAUAGUAGCAUAGGAGAUAUAUUUGCAAGAAUACAAGUCAACAGAAUGGAGCACCCAAAGUUAAGUUAGUACCCCUCAUAGACCACCUCAAUGGACAUUUCAUUAGCUUGCAUUCUCUAGCCAUUGGUCUUAAUAACUAUGACAAUUUUUGCAAAUGAUCUAACAACACAAAACUAUACCAUGAUUAAACUUGCAUGGCACAUCAUUCAAAUACUCAUCUUAUCAAGCCAUUGUGUGGCCUUCUCAAUGAUUAUGGAAAAAUCAAACAUGUUUGAUUGAAAUAUUCUUAUAAAUGCAACUUGUCUCUUUAUUGAUUAAGUUAAUAAGCCAUUGAAUCACAAAAACGUCCCAUUGAAGUGUGUUUAUUCCUAUAAAAUUGUUAUUUAAAUUUUUUAUUUUGGAUUUUUUUUUAUUUUUCAUAAUAUCUCAAUUAUGAAAUUUCAAUCUCUGAAGUGUAAUCCUAACUAUUAGUUGUCUCAUUUAUUUUUAUUUUUUAUUAUUUUAAUUCACUAUUAAUUUACAUUCUUGGUUUGUCAGUCACUUCUCCAAACUGGUAUGAAUUUAUAAAUUUUAUUCUCUAUUAUUUUUCAUUAUAAAUACUUGGAACAAUUAAAUUUUGAAAUAAUUUUAAAAGUGUUUAAAAUAUAUUCCCUAUUUUUGUUUAUUUUUAAUAAUUUCACCGCCAUAAACAAUUCUUACACUCAAAAAAAUUUCAUUUAGACAAAAAAGUUGUUAAGAAUUUUUUUUUUUUAAUAUUAUUCCUAGCUUGAAGAAAAUGAAUUAAAAUUUAAAUCUAUUGUUAGUGAAUUAGAUUGUCUAGUUUAAGUUGAUAAUUAUGUUUUAUUCAACCCACCUUAAGACUUAUAUUUUCCUAUCAUAAAGGUAUAAAGAGCUAUGAAAAAGUUAAUGACUUCAAACAAGCAACAUAAUGUGGACUUUAGUGAAUAUUAGGUUGAGGAUUUUGUUAAUUUAAUUAGAAAAAUUUAAGAUCAGACACUCAAAUGCUCAAAUCUAGUGCUCAAACUCUAUGCUAGAGCGCUGACAAGGGGUGCUCAAGCAUUGAAAUCACUUAAGUGCACUUAUAUAGUGCUCGAGUGUUCGAUGGUUAGUUUUCCAUAAAUUAAGUUUGCAAAAUUUUAAUUUUCCUUUUUUAAAAAAAAAUGGAAUUUAAAAAGUUAGGAUUAAUAGUCCACUACAUUUCAUUCCUAUAUACAUAUUAUGCCUGAAAAAUCAAGUUUCUCUAAUGCACAUAAAAGAUAAAAAGUCAUUAUCCUUUUUGUAUCCCAAAACUCUUAAAACUAUUUAGGAUUUAUUCUUUGGUUUGUGAGAGAGAUUUCCAUCCCUUCAAGGUAUCAAAGAGUUUACUUGGAAGUCAAUGGUGUUGCAUCAUGAAUGUGAGAUCAAGUGUAGAUUCUAGGGUGCAAGUCUUUAGGAUAAUUUUAUGGUCUGUGUACCUUUUCUUUGAAAUAGUGGAUGAUAACUUUGUGGUCUCAAUCCAAUGGUUUUUAUAUCCACAAAUCUCUAAGAGGCCUUAUGAGUAAUUUUCCACAUUAAUUAUUCAUCUUUGUGAGCGAUUGAAAUUUUUGAUUGAUUGAUUGAUUAAUUGUUCAAUUCAUUAAAAGAAUUUAUAGAAACAAAAAUUGGUAAGCUUUGGGCUAUAAUAAAAAGGAAUACUUAUUCAACCCCCUUCUAGGUAGUUUCAUAAUUGAAAUCACAAAUUUUGAAUUGGUAUCAAAGUAGGAAAAUUUUAAUUAUCAAUUUUUAUUUUUAUUUUCUAUUAUGCUAUGAUCUUAGAUUAUGGAACCACAAAGGUUUGGAUCAUCCAUAAACCAUCUACCUUAUUUUGAUGGCAACAACUAUCCUCACUAGAAGGCUUGUAUAUAAUUGUUUUGAAAAUAGAGGGGAAAUUGUAUGGAAUUCAGUAGAAUUUGGAUGGAGGGCCCCAUUAAAAUUAGAUGGAACAUGUAGAUCCACAAAUAAACUCAAGCCUAAGCAAGAUUGCGACAAAUUAGACAAGGAGGGUAGUGAAGAUAAUGCUUGGGGCUUCUAUAGCAUAUUCAAUGAGGUGAGUCUAAACUAGUUUUGCACAAUAGUCACAUGCAGAAAUAUAGCCUAGAACUCGAUUAACAAUAUGAGAGGACCAUCCAUAUGCUAUGAACGAUCAUAUUGCUCACCAAUAUGAGCAUGCAUAUGCCUUACAAAUCAUUGAUGCAAAUAUCCAAGUGAAAGCACUACUAAUUAAUAGAAAACAACACAUAGUUAAUAGAUGACCCAUCAAUGGGCUUUAAAGGCCCUACAAUCACACGAGAAGAGCUCACAUGCUAUCUGCAACCCCCAUAACCUUGGGUGAGUGGAACUAGUCAACCGCCCCUACUUAACAACUUUAAUCUCAUAUUUUUCAUUAGCGAGAGAGCCAACCAUCACACCUCAAGUGUGGCUCACUUGCUUGGACCAUGAGCUCUAGUUAAUUAGAGCACACUAGCCAAGUAUCAAAAACUCUUGUUGAAUGUUGUCUAGGAAAUGAAUAGAGCAAAUGGAAGGCUUCUAAAGCGAGAAUGCUUGUCAUAAAUGGCCAUGGCAUAAAAAAAAUCAUUUGCACAAUAUCUAUGAGCUUGCCAAACAAAAACAAUGGAUAAACCAUAUAGUAAAACAAUGGAUUUGUGUAGGUGAGAAGAUGGCUAGAAUGUAUUGGUUGCAAACACAACCAUAACCCAAGUUAGAUUAAUAGAGCUAACUAGAUAAAUGUAUAUAGGAUGGUCAUGAGGCUCUCCAAACAAACUCAUAAGAAAAUUUAAAAAAAUGCAAGAUAGUUUUCACUUUGACCAUACAUGUUAUCUUCAUGGUUUAAGGAUUCACUAUCACUUGAGUCUAUGCCAUUCCUAAAAAAUGGGUAUUGCUUAAAUACCACUUGAAUAAUUACCAAAAGUCCAAUAGGGAACACUCUGAUGGAGGGUCAAUGGGUGAUUUAAAAAAAUCAAUAAAUAUUUAAAAAUUAUAACCAACUUUUUAUCCUAAGAUAUAUCUAGGAUGUCUCAAAUAAGUAAAUGGUUUUAUACCUAGAAUCCUAAGGUAUAUAAAAUAUGAUUUUUAACUUUUAGGAAUACCCUGCAAAUUGUUAGGGAUAAUAUAAUUGUCAAUAUCUGAAAUAUCUAUUGAGAUAUGUUAAGAAUAAUAAGACCAUCUAAAAUAACCAACUUAACAAACUCAAUAACAUCCUAACAAAUCAAUCAAAAGAUAUCUUGAGAGAAGUUAGAGAUAGCAAUAAUUGAUAUUCAUAAAAAUAAAUAUGAACCUUUUAGGAUUGCCUUGCAAAAUAUUAGGUGUAAUUAAUUUAACCUGUUGUAGGCAAUUCAAAUAGAAUAUAAAAUAUAUAGAUAAUGAGGCAUUAGAUUUUUUAUGUGGAAAACCCCCACAAAUAAUGGAGAUAAAAAAUCACAAGGUCUAAGACCUAUUAAUCAAAAUCCAUUAUUUGAAAUCAAGUCAUACAAAUUUACCUGGCUUCUUUACUCUUUAGUGCCUACAACUUGAUCCACGUUUGCAACGCAAGAACUACCUGUUGCUCCUUAGUAGAUCCUUUAGUCCCUCCAAAAGGAUUAUGGUCUUCAACCAAUAAUUCAAAUAAUUGAAUCCUUGAAUGAGAGAAUGGGAAUGGUGUGACAAAUUAGGCUUUCUCCUCAAAGAGUACCUUUAAAGAAUAAUAGGUCUCCCAAAAUUCUCUAAGAUCUCUAUGAUCUUUCUAAUCUCCGAUCUUUAUCCCUAAAAGGGUUACAAGGGAGGUAUUCAGGCAAAAGCCAUAAGGAUUUCAGUAUCUCAAGUUUCCUAAUUGGAGUUUGAAUUAAAUUUUUCCAAAAAUAUGUUUCUAAACUCGGUAGGACUGUCAUGACCGUUUGAGCGAACUUAGACCACUAGAGCGGUUUUUACCACUUGAGCGGUUCCUAUCGCUUGAGUGGGCGAACCACUUGAGCAGGGUUAACUGCUUGAGUGACCCUUACUUCUUUUCAAAAAAACAUUUUAAGUCCAAAAAUGAUACCAAACCUUUUAUACCUUAAAUAAAUCUUAUAUGCCAUAAGCCAAACCUUUUUAAACUUAUAUGUGACUUCCUGGUUAGACAAAUAACAACCCUUAAUCUUCAAUGGAGAGCAAGUCACUAUUUAAAAAGACUUCUAUGGCCAAACAUAAAUUGGAACAAAAUUGCCAACAUAUAAACAAGAUUUAAUGUCCUAACAACUCUAAAUGACCUAUAUGAUCUAUUUAAUAUUCUUAAGACAAGAAGUUAAAGAUGGAAUUAACAAUAUCACUUAGUUCUAAAUAGAAGUUAGGGAAAGUCUCAUCCUCUUAAAUUCUUAUACUCUUAAAUUUUGCAAUGAGCAAAUUAAGGAGAAUUUUAGUACUUAAUUAUAAUUGUAGAAUAUUGUAACUAUCAAAAGUUAACUCUACACCUAGACAAGUAAAUAGGAUGAAUAUAAUCUUAUCAAAGAUAUUCAUUAUCUAAUCACAUCAAUAGUAUUCAUUGAAAUUUGGUGUGCCGGUGAUUUUCUCUUAUUGAUCAAUUUUCCAUGAGAAAAAAAGUUAUAAACAUUAAUGUUACUUUGACUUUUAACGUUUUUUGAACCCAUUUCUAGAAGUCUUUUAAGUUCCUUUCAUUUGAUAAGAGCAAUCAAAUUAAAGAAAGAGGUCACACAACUUCUUAGAAUAUGCAAAAGGAUAAGCUUGAUCCAUAAUCAAUGGAGUUAACGUAAUAACAACUUUAAAUAAAAUAGUUAAUCAAUUUUCUAAAAAUAAUGCUUAUAAAACAGUUAAUUCAUAAAAAGAAUUCAAAUAAAAGUAUUUCACAAAAAUUGAUUUUGAUGAUUUGAUCAAAUUCCUUUUUCUUAAAAUAAUUUUUGUAUAAAUACAUAAAAUAAAAAAAAUUGUUUUCCAUGCCAAGGUGUAGCCAAAACCCCAUCUUGUGACAAAUGUGUGUAGAUAAAUUUUUUUUGAGUCCUUAAUUAUUAUUAUAGUAACAUGAAAAUAGAAUAAAAAUAAUUCAAAUUUAUUUAUUUAUUUAUUUUUUAAGAAAUGCAUGACUACAAUUCUCCUCGAUAAAUUCUCUUCAAAUUUAUUGGUUAAAAAAAAUGCAUGGGUAGAAAUAUAAUAAGAUGAAUCUUUUAAAAAGGAUAUCAUUUGUUAUAUUGUCUUGAUUUCAUUUAAGAGGAGAAUAAUGUCUUUUGAAAUUUUGAAUAAAGGUAAAAGGGGAACACCCUUCUAAAUAUUGAAAUAAUUGUACAUAUUUUGCACUAGUUAUUUUUUCAAUAACUAACUUUGUUAAGUAGAGUUCAAAUUAAGGCUUGUGGAAUUUUUUGAGUAGACUCUUAGGAUUCCUUUGCUUUUUUCAAACGUCCUUGAACUGAAAAAGGACACCCUAUUUACAAGGAAUUUAAUUCUUGUAUUCUGUCCAUAAGAAAAUCUAUCACUUUUAAUUUUCUUUGACUUUAAUUUGAUUUGAUUUAAUUUUUAUUUUAUUUUAUUAUUAUUUUAUUUUUUUUGUAAAAUGUAAUUUUGUAUUCACAAAAUUUUUAUGACACGCCACUUGUAUAAAUUAUAAGACUUCAUGAGUUGGUUAGUAUUAUAUACAUGAGUUGGUUAAUUAGUAGUAUAUAAUGCAAAACUGCAUUAAAAUUUUAAUAUUUAUUAUUAAUAAAGGUAAGUUUGGAAGAAACAUUUACUAACUUCUAGUCUAAGAAUUAUUUAAAUGAUUUACUAUAUCUUGAUCACUUAAUUUUUUGUGAGAAUUGGAUGAAAAUACUUUAACUUUCGAAUGAUUGCUUUCUAGUAAGUUUUAUGUAUAUAUUUUUAAUUUUUUUUUACAAAUAAAAUGUUAUUUGAUGGAAUGAAAGAUACUUGAUGGAAUAAGAGGCUCGUGGUUUAAGGCAUGAAUACAAUGAGUGAAGAAAUAUGAGAUGUUUUGGAAACCUAAUAAUUGUAUUUAUUUUUAUUCUAUAAUAUUGUCUUUGAUAAAGUGGAAUGAUUAUCUCUCAUAUGUGGUGUAGACAUGGUUUGUUCAAUCACAUUAAAAUCCUACUUACCUUUCUAUGAAUUGUCUUAUUUUUUUGGUCUUGAACUAAAAUUGUUUGCAAUAAAACUUCUAUUGGCACAACAAGAAGAAAAGUCGGAUGCUGGGGAUAUGCAAAAGGAGAAGUUUGACCCAUGCUCAAUGUGGUAAACAUUGAAAUUGUUUACUAGUUUCCAACUUAAGUGUUUGUUAUUUCAAUAUGAAACUAAAGAUGAUAUAGAGAUAGAAAAUAAUAAAGUUGUAAAGAGAGAUUGUCUUGAUCUAUUUCACAAUUCAAUUGAGGUAGGCAAAGAGAGGUUAAUUUGUUGUUCCAAUGGUUUGGUCCAACACUUAGAGGAUAAUGAUGAAAAUUCUAAUUUUAAUGAUAAAAGGUGGGUGACUUCUUUGGAAGACACAUAAAGUACAAUUGCCUUCAAAAAUUGUUAAUCAAACCACACACAUGAACAAAAAUAAAGAAAAUAUAAGUUAUUUUUAACAUAAUUUGAUAAUUGAUAUGAUCUUAUGUUCAUAUAGUUUACUAACAUUUGAGAAUCCACUAUUCAAAUAAAGUUGAAAAGUUACCGUGGUGAAAAGUUCUCUCACUCCUCUUAAUUGCUAUGACACAUUUUCUUUUCAAAAUAAAACCUUAAAUCAUAAAAAGAUUAAAGUACAUAGUAGGCAAAUUCGUUAUUAAUUAAAUAAAAAAUCUAUUUAUCACUCAUAAUCAUUUCUUUUUAGUUCUCUUUCUCAUGUUGUUUAUUGUUCACAAUCAUCUCUCUUGAUAAAAAUAUGAUUCUUAUCACAUUAAGAUAUAGAUCUUGAAAUUAAUGCUAGUACAGUUUUGGAUUUAAUUUCAUGGUUGGUUUGAUUAGUUGAAGACUAAAAAUCCCAUACAUUUUGUAAGUCGACUCAAAGGUUUUAUAAAGUAAUGAGAUAAGCUAUUAGCGCAGCUUCAUAAUUAAUUAUAAAAAUGCUUAAAAAGUUUUGAAAAUAGAAAAAUCGAUAUUUUUUUAAUUUUAUUACUAUGAUGUAAAAUUAAAAACAAAAAUAGAUCACCAAACGUAGUUCCUCGAAAAAUUGAGAAGUCCUUAUUUUAGUAAAACAAAAAUAAAAGAAAACACGUACACACAUAUUAAUAAUAAUAAUAAAUUCCACUACCUCUCAACACCUGCAAGUAUUGAGAUGACCAUAAGCUAUAUGUAACAUCAGAAUAGAAAUUUAGGAAGUGCUUCAUACAUAUGGAUACCAAAUGAACCAAAUUGAUCAACGAUGUUACGGAGGCCCUGGGCUGCAAUAGUGUGCAGGUCUCACUUGGGCCGUCGAUGUUGGGAGGAAGCAUCCUGGACUAGGACUUGAAGGAUUUGGAUACACUUGCGAACUUGGCGAAGGUAGCUGUUUCGGUGGUUUGUCCAAAAAAUAAAUAUCAUAAAAUUAAUAUGCUUAAUAUUGUUAGGCUUUUAUUGAAAGGGGAAUCGUGUUACCAUGCACCAACCCCAAAAAAUUUGACUUUUUAAACCUUUAUUUUUAAUUUUUUAAUUUAAGUGUCAAAUAGAAAAAAAGAUCCCCUUUUAUACACCCAAUGAGUAAUUUUCCAAAAUUAUCCUAUCUAUUUUUUUUUUUUUUCUUUUUAUUUCUCCCAAACCGUCCGCCUCUCCCUCCCUCCCCACUUAAACUGGCCGGCACUUCGCCGGCGUCAUUAUCGGCCGCCACUCACACCUCUCUCCGGUCUCCAAUCUCCCUCUCUCUCCCUUUCUCGUCCCUCUUUCUCUCUCUUUCCUUCCCUUUUCACAUCACCACCGCCACCACUACCAGCGACCCACUGCUUGCCUCUCAUCGACGGCAAAACCGGGCUGCACUUUGUCGGCGUCAUAAGCGGCCGCAGCUCACAGCUCUCACCGGCCGGCAACCUCAUCCUCUCUUCUUUUCCUUUCCCUAUUUCUUUCUCUUUCCUUCGCUUUUCACAUCACCAUCGCCACUGCCAACGACCCACGGCUGCUGCCACGUCUCACCCGUGGCGACUAGUGCCGCCCAGUCGCUGCUCGUGAGAGGCCGCAGCAGCAGCAGUGGGUCGUUGGCAGUGGUAGCGGUGGUGAUGUGGAAAGGGAACGAAAGUGAAAGAAAUAGGGAGGGGAAAGGGAGAGAGAAAGAGAGGGAGGUUGCCGGCCGAAGGGGAUUGUGAGCAGCAGCCGGCCAUGCACUGGUGAUGGCGCUGACAGUAGUGGCAGUGGUGAUGUCGAAAAAGGGAAGGAAAAAAGAGAGGAAGAGAGAGAAAUAGAGAGAUGCGAGAGAGAGGGAAAAUCUCUGUCGGAGAGAGCUGUGCGGCCGUCAAUGAUGACGCCGACAAGGUGACACUGACAGCAGAUUAUGGUGUAGUGGGAGAGGCGGGUGGGUAAUUUUGGAAAAAAACUUAGAAUUACUGUUUGAGUGUAUGAAAGGAUAAUUUGUAUUUUCAUUUUGCACUUAAAUUGAAAAGUCAAAAAUAAAAAUUAAAAAAUUGAGAUCUUUGGGGAUUGGUGUAUGGUAACAUGAUUCCUCCCUUAUUGAAUAGCAUAAACAAACUUACAGGAGAGGAAUCGCCUACGAAUGCUCUUUUGCAGUUACAUACCACCAACAUCUCAGGCAGAAUGAAUAAUACGACGCAAAUGAUGAGGAAUGCCUUGCCAACAGCCAUCUCUUGUGCUUUCUUAAUCACCUACUUAUGCUAAUACGAAAACGAGAAUACCACCCCAGCCCAUAUUUAUAGCAACGUUCGAGCCUACCUCUUCAAACUAACCCCACUACUUGAAUUGGAAGCCAUGAAGCAAUUUCCAGUUUUCAAACUAGAAUAUUUGACAACAAUUAAUUCACUAUUGAGACCUUCCUCGUAAUUAAUAUUUGGUUGGUUUGGUGAUAAAAUAUUAUUAAGAAUAAUUUUAAAUAAUCUUCGUACUAUUUAUUUUACUAGUUUUUUAAAAAAUUAUGUGAUUUCAUGUGUCAUUUACAUUUAUAUUUUUCAUAACUAUUUUUUUGCUUUAUUGAACACAUCUUUUAACCUUUUUUUUAAUAUAUAUAUUUAUUGGAAAUUAUUAAUUUUUUGAUAAAAUUUAAAAUUAAGGAGAAUUUUAGUACUUAAUGAUAAUUGUAGAAUAUUGUAACUAUCAAAAGUUAACUCUACACCUAGACAAGUAAAUAGUAUGAAUAUAAUCUUAUCAAAGGUAUUCAUUAUCUAAUCACAUCAAUAGUAUUCAUUCAAAUUUGGUGUGCCGCAUGAUUUUCUCUUAUUGAUCAAUUUUCCAUGAGAAAAAAAGUUAUGUUACUUUGACUUUUGAUGUUUUUUGAACCCAUUUCUAGGAGUCUUUUAAGGUCCUUUCAUUUGAUAAGAGCAAUCAAAUUAAAAAAAGAGGUCACCCAACUUCUUAAAAUAUGCAAAAGGAUAAGCUUGAUCCAUAAUCAAUGGAGUUAACGUAAUAUCAAUUUUAAAUAAAAUAGUUAAUCAAUUUUCUAAAAAUAAUGCUUAUAAAACGGCUAGUUCAUAAAAAGAAUGCAAAUAAAAGUAUUUCACAAAAAUUGAUUUUGAUGAUUUAACCAAAUUCCUUUUUCUUAAAAUAAAUUUUGUAUAAAUACAUAAAAAAAAAAAAAAUUGUUUUCCGUGCCAAGGUGCAGCCAAAACCCCAUCUUGUGACAAAUGUGUGUGUAGAUAAUUCUUUUUUUUUGAGUCCUUAAUUAUUAUUAUAAGAACAUGAAAAUAGAAUAAAAAUAAUUCAAAUUUUUUUUGUUUUUUUUCUUUUUUUAAGAAAUGUAUGACUACAAUUCUCCUUGAUAAAUUCUCUUCAAAUUUAUUGGUUAAAAAAAAAUGCAUGGGUAGACAUAUAAUAAGAUGAAUCUUUUAAAAAGGAUAUAAUUUGUUAUAUGGUCUUGAUUUCAUUUUAGAGGAGAAUAAUGUCUUUUGAAAUUUUGAAUAAAGGUAAAAGGGAACACCCUUCUAAAUACCGAAAUAAUUGUACUUAUUUUGCACUAGUUAUUUUUUCAAUGACUAACUUUGUUAGUAGAGUUCAAAUUAAGGCUUGUGGAAUUUCUUGAGUAGACUCUUAGGAUUCCUUUGCUGUUUUCAAAUGUUCCUGAAUUGAAAGAGGAGGCCCUAUUUAUGAGAAUAAUCAUAAUUCAAUUUGGUCUUGAAAUAUUUGAUUUACAAGGAAUUUAAUUCUUGUAUUCUGUCCAUAAGAAAAUCUAUCACUUUUAUUUUUCUUUGACUUUAAUUUGAUUUGAUUUAAUUUUUUAUUUUUUAUUUUGUAAAAUGUAAUUUUGUAUUCACAAAAUUUUUUUGACACGUCACUUGUAUAAAUUAUAAGACUUCAUGAGUUGGUUAGUAUUAUAUAAUGCAAAAUUGCAUUAAAAUUUUAAUAUUUAUUAUUAAUAAAGAUAAGUUUGGAAGAAACAUUUACUAACUUCUAGUCUAAGAAUUAUUUAAAUGAUUUACUAUAUUCUGAUCACUUAAUUUUUUAUGAGAAUUGGAUGAAAAUACUUUAACUUUCUAAUGAAUGCUUUCUAGUAAGUUUUAUGUACAUAUUAAAUUUUUUUUUUUUGACAAAUAAAAUGUUAUAUAGAAGUGUUAUUUUUGUUAUAAAUUAAAUUGAAGCAUCAAUUCAUAUUCAUAGUUACUUGAAGACUUUUUAUUUAUUUAUUUAUUUAUUCCUCAUUUUUCAAGCAAUUUUAAAUAUAAAAAAAUUAUAAAAAUGAACAUUACUCAUAUGAGGGCUUAUUAAUUUGAUUUUGAAGUUGAAUUAUCAAUUUUCCCCCCAAUGCUAUUUUAAUUAAUAGUGGUGUGAUCAUUGGAACUUGGUGUUCUUAUUCUAUCAUUGCUUAGGUUGGCUUAAUGAAGUAUAAAUAACUAUUUGGAACUUGGCAUUAAAUUAUUCAUUAUUUUAAUUUUUGUUUUUUUGUGAUGAUAUAAUUUUUUUUAAGAAGUAUUAAUUUUGUUAAAAACUUAAUAGAUUUUGGAAUUUCAAUAUAUGAUACAAAAAUCGUAACUUAGUAAAAGAGAUUCAAAUAAUAGGGUGAUAUUUGAUAAAAGUGAAAAUUAAGGGAAAUUUUAGUAUUUAAUUAUAGGUGUAGAAUAUUAUAACUAUCAAAAGUUAUUAACUCUACAUCUAGACAAGUAAAUAGUAUGAAUAUAAUCUUUUCAAAGGUAUUCAUUAUCUAAUCACAUCAAUAGUAUUCAUUCAAAUUUGAUGUGCAAUUUUCCAUGAGAAAAAAAGUUAUGAAUAUUAAUGUUACUUUGACUUUUGUUGUUUCUUUGGAUUCAUUUGUUGAAGUCUCUUAAGGCCCACACGCUAAGGAAAAAGUAAUUAGAUUAAAGGAGGACAAUUUCUUAGAAUAUGUAAAAGGAUAAGCUUGACCUAUAGUCAAUGGAGUUAACCUAAUAUUAAUUUAAUCUUAGGACUUUUAUGCUGAACUUGUCCACCACUCGACCCAGAUCAUGUGAUAUCUCAAACGGGUCCUCUAUGCAAAUCAAAUGCCGGUCGUUCCCUUUUCUCCUUGUCCAGUCCUUCUCUCGCUUGCUGUGCAAAUAAACAUGGCAAUGACCAGUUGCUCAACCAUAAAGAGAGGUCUCAGUUAAAGGUUUUGUUUCAAUUAAAUUUGGAUGUUAUGCUGGUGAGCCGGUCAAAGCUGAUUCAUAUCAUGUGUGUGGACUCUCCAUCCUCCAAUGAAAAUCUUAUUUCAAGCAAGAUAAAGUUUGAUGCCAAAAUGGAAAUCUAGAGCCUUGGCCAAGAGUGUAAUAUAUCCUAUUCAGAUACAAGUAUCCAAUGUCACAUAAUUUAAGGAGCUUACUAACCCCGCUUGCUUCUGAAAAACACAGAAUGCAUAAACAAGGGAAUGACGGAUAGUGAUGUAUCCUUCCAAACAACAGAACACUUCUUUGCCCUAAUAAACUGCAACAUGCAAUUUGGUACUGGCACUAAAUUCCCACCAAAUUAGGGCAAUUCUUAGUUCAUGACAAAACCUAAAAGUUCUUUUCUAAACUCCUGUGUGUCAAAUUGUGAUUGAGAAGCUACCAGAAAAAGAGUCAACAACAAAAAAAUUAUUUUUGAUACUCAAAUUUAUGAUAGAAUUACCUACAACAAAUCUCUUGAGUGCUCAAGUGGUCCACCAGUGCUUUUAGGGACUGUACCUUAGGUACUACCUUAGUGGCCUUAGGUACUACCUUAGUGGCCUUCAGGUACUACCUUAGUGGCUUUAGGUACUACCUUAAGGGCCCUUAGGUACUACCUUAGCUAAACCUCAACUCAACCUCUCCCAAGCCUUCGGCCUUCCUCUCUGACCCUUAGACCAUGCCAUUGUGUGGUUCUCUUAAGUGCUCAAGUGGUCCACCAAUGCUUUUUAGGGACUGUACCUUAGGUACUACCUUAAGAGCCCUUAGGUACUACCUUAGUGGCUUUCAGCUGCUACCUUAAGGGACCCUAGGUACUACCUUAGCUAAACCUCAACUCAACCUCUCUCAAGCCUCGGGCCUUCCUCUCUUACCCUUCCACCAUCCCAUUAUGUGUUUCUCUUGAGUGCUCAAGUGAUCUACAAGUGCUUUUUAGGGACUGUACCUUAGGUACUACCUCAGUGGCUUUCAGGUACUACCUUAGUGGCCUUCAGGUACUACCUUAACUAAACCUCAACUCAACCUCUCCUAAGCCUCCGGUCUUCCUUUCUGACCCUUAGACCAUGCCAUUGUGUGGUUCUCUUGAGUGCUCGAGUGGUCCACCAAUGCUUUUUAGGGACUGUACCUUAGGUACUACCUUAGCUAAAGUUGGGGUCUACCUUAGAUGGAAGAGAAGUGAUGAAAGUUCAGCAGCUGCCAAACCAAAGUUUGAACUUCCAAUUCAUGCUCAACAUUUCUUCCAAAUUAUUUCAUAUCCAUAUGUAAUAUCUUUCUUUGUUGGCUUCUUUAUAGCAUGUCUUAUGCAUAUUGUAAUAUUUAGCUUAACAUAGGUGCUACAAAUGUGUUAUGAAUAUCAAUGUGUAGUACUAUAUUUGUCGUAGUGCGAACAAGGACCUCUGUGAUUAUUAUUAUCAGCUUUGUUAAACUGAAAAUGCUAACUCAACCAUUUUGCACAUAACACAUUGUGAUAUUGAUGCUCAUAAUUUUCUUGGAACAACCAAACUAAGAGAAAAGUCCCUUUGGGGGAUUUUCUCUUCUUUCCCCGUCCUUUGCUCGGAACUCGACAGAGCAUUGAAGAUAGAUAUACAUGAUCUUUAGAAUGCAGCUCCAAUUUUGUGAUGAAAAUGUUUCACACCUCAGUUCUAUCUAGUAUUUACAACACUUAUUUAGUGAUUGUUCUAUGAAAUAUUUAAGUGUUAAGUAGCCUCUAUAUCUUUCAUCUGGAUAUGUCAGAAUGUUGUGAGAUCAUUAUCACCUACAGUUAAAAAAAUGCAUCUUCUUUUACAUUAGAAUAUCUUUUGAUAUGGGACUUUUUAAUCAUGUCAUGUCAUGAAAUGCUUUGAUAAACUGUCAACUUGUAUCCUUGUAUUCAUACCAUUGAACAUUGGACCAGUAAAUAACAAGUUUGUUUUCUCUCUCUCUUUUAUUUCCUUUUCUUCAUCAGAGAAUUAGUAAGCGCACCGAAGAGCUGCAAAGUGGAGCACAAGACUUUGCAUAAUUGGCAAACGAGCUUGUCAAGGCAAUGGAAGGGCGAAAAUGGUAUCAGAUAUGAAAUCGGGUUGGCAUAUUCUGCAUGGGCUUAUGGUUCAUGGUAUAGUGUAAUUUGUUCUGUUUUGGGGUCAAGAGGGGAUUCCUUGGGUUACCUAUAACACAUGAUUUACGUUUCUGUGGAUAACGGAUGAUGAAAUCCACUCCAGGAUGCUGUACAGUUCAACCAGCUGCAGAUCCUUGUAAUUGGAUGUGUUUUAGGUACAUCAUUUUACAGGAAUGUCAUGGCACUGGGACAUUAGGGUGAUAUCCACAUUUCGAUUGUUUGCCCUGCCAAAUUUUUGACAUUAUGAGGUAUUUAUGUACCUGAUUUUUUGCCAAUAUGCAAGAGGUGCAUGCUCAAAAGGGUUUUAAACUAAGGAGUUCCAUGAUCAAAUUGUCUUACGUAUUCAGAUUAUACUUGUGAUGUGCAGUUGUGUCAGUUCCAUUACUUAAGUAACCCUCAUGUUAUGCGGUUUUUGUGCCGUUCAGCAUUAGUAUAAUCUUCACAAAUGUGAGAUGCAAAUAUAAAUGAACAUCCCAAAAUUGAUGUAAAAAUACAACCAAAUGGAGAACCCUCAACAAGACUGCCCCAGAUCAGCACAACAUUGCAAUGGUCAACCACAUAGACGUAUAACAGCAGGGAAACAGGUGGUAAACCUUCCUCAACCAUUCAUGUGUAUUGUAUUUCUUCAUCUCCUAAAUGGUUGGUUUACGGAGCUGGACUGAUCCAUCGUUGCCUUUUUAAAAUGUGCCUUCUUAGACGUAAUUUCUUGAAAAGUAUUAGGUUCACCAAGGCCACCUUUAGAGCUCCAUACUUUCUUCCUCUUGGCCUGAUCUUAUUCUUCAUCCCUGUGAGAGUUGAAAAGGUUAUAAAAAUACAGAUGGAGGCUAGGACAUACAAAUUACCAACACCAACUUACAAAUGGAACCCUUCCUCUAAUACAAGCAAUUCAUAGUCUAGAAUAAGAAACAAUGUAAUUGGAUGUUUAACAGAAGCUCAGGCUGACACACUCAAAGAUAAAUGUUAUGUUACCAAACAAAUAACUGAAACAUUCUUGUCUCAAGCAUGUUAUGUAUUAGAAACUAUGGACAUCCAUAGCUAACAUCUCCAAAAGUAAUAAUGGUUGCUUUUAAAAUUCGUGAACAGACAAGCAUACUGGCUGAAAACAAAAUUAUUACAAGUUAUUUCACCUGCACAAAAAAGCAAGUGUUGAAACCUGGUUUACACUUUUCCUUAUUACAAACCAGCUUUAAAAUUGUGCUGAUAUUGUGUUUUGCAUCUUUAUAAAGUAGAUGAUACUUGACAAAAAGUUAAGCUUGUCUGUGCUUGCUACUAUUGACUCCAACAUGGAGCUCCUUUUUUGUUUGCCUUAAGGAGAGAAAAAUCCAGCCCAUCCCUAAGCUUUAAGUCAAGCUAAAAUUAACUAAAUAUGAGUACAACAGCUACUUACUUUGGGCAUUUUAGUUCCCUAUAUCUCAUCAAGGUGUUGUCCACCAAAAUUGCAAUUAAGGCCACUAGGUUAGAGCAAUACUAAUCCAGGAAGAAUAUAAAAGCACAGAUAAACAGCUAUAAUCCACAGAUCAGGCUACUCUUUCGUAUUAAGUGAAAAGCAGAUCAUAUUGGUACAAAAACAUACACAUGUCCCAUAUGGACAAGCACAUGAUACCUAAUUCUGCAUCAAACACCUGCUCGAACUUUCUCAUUGAUGUGUACAAUAAAAACAAGAUUCUGG
rnacentral:lncRNA from 1 species